UCACUGAACAAUGACAGUUCACUAACCAUUCCUUCAAUAUUCGCCCGUGCGUUGCGUUGUCAAGACAAGAUCUAGGACCGACUCGCCACGUGUCGGAGCAGAAACAAUCUGUGACAAACUGAACUGAGAUAUCAAACAAAGGAAUUCUUUACAUUCA
rnacentral:lncRNA from 1 species